rnacentral:piRNA from 1 species
UUGAAUGACCAUAGCUUGCUUCCCAGGCUCU